AUUGAACGCUGGCGGCAUGCCUUACACAUGCAAAUCGAACGGUAACGGGCCUUCGGGUGCCGACGAGUGGCGAGCGGGUGAGUAAUACAUCGGAACGUGCCCGAUCGUGGGGGAUAACGAGGCGAAAGCUUUGCUAAUACCGCAUACGAUCUACGGAUGAAAGCAGGGGACCGCAAGGCCUUGCGCGGACGGAGCGGCCGAUGGCAGAUUAGGUAGUUGGUGGGAUAAAAGCUUACCAAGCCGACGAUCUGUAGCUGGUCUGAGAGGAUGAUCAGCCACACUGGGACUGAGACACGGCCCAGACUCCUACGGGAGGCAGCAGUGGGGAAUUUUGGACAAUGGGCGCAAGCCUGAUCCAGCCAUGCCGCGUGCAGGAUGAAGGCCUUCGGGUUGUAAACUGAUUUUGUACGGAACGAAAAGCCUUCUUUUAAUACAGGAGGGUCAUGACGGUACCGUAAGAAUAAGCACCGGCUAACUACGUG
rnacentral:rRNA from 1 species